rnacentral:rRNA from 1 species
UAAAAGGUACGCCGGGGAUAACAGGCUUAUCUCCCCCAAGAGUUCACAUCGACGGGGAGGUUUGGCACCUCGAUGUCGGCUCAUCGCAUCCUGGGGCUGGAGCCGGUCCCAAGGGUUCGGCUGUUCGCCGAUUAAAGCGGUACGUGAGCUGGGUUUAGAACGUCGUGAGACAGUUCGGUCCCUAUCUGCUGUGGGCGUAGGAGAUUUGAGGAGAGCUGCUCCUAGUACGAGAGGACCGGAGUGGACGAACCUCUGGUGUUCCUGUUGUCGCGCCAGCGGCACCGCAGGGUAGCUAUGUUCGGACGGGAUAACCGCUGAAAGCAUCUAAGCGGGAAGCCCCCUCCAAGAUAAGAUCUCCCCCUCUUAAUUGAGGCUAAAGGGCCCUCGAAGACUACGAGGUUGAUAGGCCGGAGGUGUAAGCACAGUGAUGUGUUCAGCUGACCGGUACUAAUCGCCCGUGAGGCUUGGUCACU